rfam:Streptomyces yokosukanensis strain DSM 40224 genomic scaffold PRJNA299221_s018, whole genome shotgun sequence.
CUUCAACGACCCGAGCCACAGCGGCUUCUCGGGAUCGCGGUUCUUUCCGUAGGUCGCGAGCAGGGCCUGCGCCUC